CAACCUCAACUCAUAUGGGACUACCCCCUGAAUUUAAGCAUAUUAAUUAGGGGAGGAAAAGAAACUAACAAGGAUUUUCUUAGUAGCGGCGAGCGAAAAGAAAUCAGUUCAGCACUAAGUCACUUUGUCUAUAUGGCAAAUGUGAGAUGCAGUGUACGGAACAUCAACAUUCUAGUAUGAGAAGUUAACGAUUUAAGUCCUUCUUAAAUGAGGCCAUUUACCCAUAGAGGGUGCCAGGCCCGUAUAACGUUAAUGAUUACUAGAUGGUGUUUCCAAAGAGUCGUGUUGCUUGAUAGUGCAGCACUAAGUGGGUGGUAAACUCCAUCUAAAACUAAAUAUAACCAUGAGACCGAUAGUAAACAAGUACCGUGAGGGAAAGUUGAAAAGAACUCUGAAUAGAGAGUUAAAUAGUACGUGAAACUGCUUAGAGGUUAAGCCCGAUGAACCUGAAUAUCCGUUAUGGAAAAUUCAUCAUUAGAAUUGUAAUAUUUUAAACAAUAUUAUAAUAAUAGUGUGCAUUUUUUUCCAUAUAAGGACAUUGUAAUCUAUUAGCAUAAAUAUUUAUCAUAAAAUUAUGUCUGAUUGCUUAUUUGAAUUAUAUGCUUGGCAUUUUAACAUAAAAUAAAAGAUAUAAAUUUGAUAAAGUGCUGAUAGAUUUAUAUGAUUACAGUGCGUUAAUUUUUCGGAAUUAUAUAAUGGCAUAAUUAUCAUUGAUAUUUGUGUUUAUUAUAUGCAUUUGUAUGAUUAACAAUGCGAAAGAUUCAGGAUACCUUCGGGA
rnacentral:ncRNA from 1 species